rnacentral:rRNA from 1 species
GACGAACGCUGGCGGCAUGCUUAACACAUGCAAGUCGAACGGAAAGGCCCUGCUUUUGUGGGGUGCUCGAGUGGCGAACGGGUGAGUAACACGUGAGUAACCUGCCCUUGACUUUGGGAUAACUUCAGGAAACUGGGGCUAAUACCGGAUAGGAGCUCCUGCUGCAUGGUGGGGGUUGGAAAGUUUCGGCGGUUGGGGAUGGACUCGCGGCUUAUCAGCUUGUUGGUGGGGUAGUGGCUUACCAAGGCUUUGACGGGUAGCCGGCCUGAGAGGGUGACCGGCCACAUUGGGACUGAGAUACGGCCCAGACUCCUACGGGAGGCAGCAGUGGGGAAUAUUGCACAAUGGGCGGAAGCCUGAUGCAGCAACGCCGCGUGCGGGAUGACGGCCUUCGGGUUGUAGACCGCUUUCGCCUGUGACGAAGCGUGAGUGACGGUAAUGGGUAAAGAAGCACCGGCUAACUACGUG